CCUGUGAGGGGAGUGAAAUAGAACCUGAAACCGUGUACGUACAAGCAGUGGGAGCACCUUCGUGGUGUGACUGCGUACCUUUUGUAUAAUGGGUCAGCGACUUAUAUUCUGUAGCAAGGUUAACCGAAUAGGGGAGCCGAAGGGAAACCGAGUCUUAACUGGGCGUUAAGUUGCAGGGUAUAGACCCGAAACCCGGUGAUCUAGCCAUGGGCAGGUUGAAGGUUGGGUAACACUAACUGGAGGACCGAACCGACUAAUGUUGAAAAAUUAGCGGAUGACUUGUGGCUGGGGGUGAAAGGCCAAUCAAACCGGGAGAUAGCUGGUUCUCCCCGAAAGCUAUUUAGGUAGCGCCUCGUGAAUUCAUCUUCGGGGGUAGAGCACUGUUUCGGCUAGGGGGUCAUCCCGACUUACCAACCCGAUGCAAACUACGAAUACCGAAGAAUGUUAUCACGGGAGACACACGGCGGGUGCUAACGUCCGUCGUGAAGAGGGAAACAACCCAGACCGCCAGCUAAGGUCCCAAAGUCAUGGUUAAGUGGGAAACGAUGUGGGAAGGCUCAGACAGCCAGGAUGUUGGCUUAGAAGCAGCCAUCAUUUAAAGAAAGCGUAAUAGCUCACUGGUCGAGUCGGCCUGCGCGGAAGAUGUAACGGGGCUCAAACUAGGCACCGAAGCCGCGGAUUCACGCUAUGCGUGAGUGGUAGGGGAGCGUUCUGUAAGUCUGUGAAGGUGUGUCGUGAGGCAUGCUGGAGAUAUCAGAAGUGCGAAUGCUGACGUAAGUAACGAUAAAGGGGGUGAAAAGCCUCCUCGCCGGAAGACCAAGGGUUCCUGUCCAACGUUAAUCGGGGCAGGGUGAGUCGACCCCUAAGGCGAGGCCGAAAGGCGUAGUCGAUGGGAAACAGGUUAAUAUUCCUGUACUUGGUGUUACUGCGAAGGGGGGACGGAGAAGGCUAUGUUAGCCGGGCGACGGUUGUCCCGGUUUAAGCAUGUAGGCGGAGGUUCCAGGUAAAUCCGGUACCUUUUUAACGCUGAGGUGUGAUGACGAGGCACUACGGUGCUGAAGUAACAAAUGCCCUGCUUCCAGGAAAAGCCUCUAAGCAUCAGGUAACAUCAAAUCGUACCCCAAACCGACACAGGUGGUCAGGUAGAGAAUACCAAGGCGCUUGAGAGAACUCGGGUGAAGGAACUAGGCAAAAUGGUGCCGUAACUUCGGGAGAAGGCACGCUGAUAUGUAGGUGAAGCCCCUGCGGGUGGAGCUGAAAUCAGUCGAAGAUACCAGCUGGCUGCAACUGUUUAUUAAAAACACAGCACUGUGCAAACACGAAAGUGGACGUAUACGGUGUGACGCCUGCCCGGUGCCGGAAGGUUAAUUGAUGGGGUUAGCGCAAGCGAAGCUCUUGAUCGAAGCCCCGGUAAACGGCGGCCGUAACUAUAACGGUCCUAAGGUAGCGAAAUUCCUUGUCGGGUAAGUUCCGACCUGCACGAAUGGCGUAAUGAUGGCCAGGCUGUCUCCACCCGAGACUCAGUGAAAUUGAACUCGCUGUGAAGAUGCAGUGUACCCGCGGCAAGACGGAAAGACCCCGUGAACCUUUACUAUAGCUUGACACUGAACAUUGAGCCUUGAUGUGUAGGAUAGGUGGGAGGCUUUGAAGUGUGGACGCCAGUCUGCAUGGAGCCGACCUUGAAAUACCACCCUUUAAUGUUUGAUGUUCUAACGUUGGCCC
rnacentral:rRNA from 1 species